rnacentral:sRNA from 1 species
AAAAAACAACAAAAAUUCCUCGGAGUCGAGCAGAGCAUACAGAUGAAGGAACAACAAUUAGGGGCAGUACAGCAGCACACACACCUCAGGAACAGUACGCCAUUAUUCAGCCACAACCAACCAGCAAUUCAGCCCAACCAGCCCCAACAAAUCAGCGAUCAACACAAUGGAACAUAAAACAACCAGAGAACAAACUACACAUAAGAAGCAUUCAAGCAGUGAAACUAAUGAUAACCGAUGACGACUUGGAAACGACUUGGAUUUGAAGUGUGGAGUAGGCCUACUGGGGAUACCACGUAAAAAAAAAACGCGCCCAGAUCUUUACCAAAUGUUGGUGGUGUGGAAAAGAGUUCAUUAAACUGUCCAAAUAUAAACGUAUAGUACGAAUAAAUAAAGAAUGACCAAUUCA